AAUACAUGCAAGUCGAACGCUUCUUUUUCCACCGGAGCUUGCUCCACCGGAAGAAGAGGAGUGGCGAACGGGUGAGUAACACGUGGGUAACCUGCCCAUCAGAAGGGGAUAACACUUGGAAACAGGUGCUAAUACCGUAUAACAAUCAAAACCGCAUGGUUUUGAUUUGAAAGGCGCUUUCGGGUGUCGCUGAUGGAUGGACCCGCGGUGCAUUAGCUAGUUGGUGAGGUAACGGCUCACCAAGGCCACGAUGCAUAGCCGACCUGAGAGGGUGAUCGGCCACAUUGGGACUGAGACACGGCCCAAACUCCUACGGGAGGCAGCAGUAGGGAAUCUUCGGCAAUGGACGAAAGUCUGACCGAGCAACGCCGCGUGAGUGAAGAAGGUUUUCGGAUCGUAAAACUCUGUUGUUAGAGAAGAACAAGGAUGAGAGUAACUGUUCAUCCCUUGACGGUAUCUAACCAGAAAGCCACGGCUAACUACGUGCCAGCAGCCGCGGUAAUACGUAGGUGGCAAGCGUUGUCCGGAUUUAUUGGGCGUAAAGCGAGCGCAGGCGGUUUCUUAAGUCUGAUGUGAAAGCCCCCGGCUCAACCGGGGAGGGUCAUUGGAAACUGGGAGACUUGAGUGCAGAAGAGGAGAGUGGAAUUCCAUGUGUAGCGGUGAAAUGCGUAGAUAUAUGGAGGAACACCAGUGGCGAAGGCGGC
rnacentral:rRNA from 1 species